GACAGAGGGUGCAAACGUUGUUCGGAAUUACUGGGCGUAAAGCGCGUGUAGGCGGCUAUGUAAGUCGGGCGUGAAAUCCCACGGCUCAACCGUGGAAGUGCACCCGAAACUGCGUAGCUAGAGUCCUGGAGAGGAAGGUGGAAUGCUUGGUGUAGAGGUGAAAUUCGUAGAUAUCAAGCGGAACACCGGUGGCGAAGGCGGCCUUCUGGACAGUGACUGACG
rnacentral:rRNA from 1 species